rnacentral:rRNA from 1 species
UACAGAGACUGCGAGCGUUAUUCGGAUUCACUGGGCGUAAAGGGUGCGCAGGCGGCCGUGUAGUGUGAGGCGUGAAAGCCCGGGGCUUAACCCCGGAAUUGCACCUCAAACUACACGGCUAGAGCAUUGGAGAGGGUAGCGGAAUUCACGGUGUAGCAGUGAAAUGCGUAGAUAUCGAUGAGGAACACCAGAGGCGAAGGCGGCUACCUGGACAAUUGCUGACGCUCAGGCACGAAGCGUGGGGAGCAAAAGG